rnacentral:snRNA from 1 species
CAUGAAAUCACCGAUACUGAU